rnacentral:rRNA from 1 species
UACGUAGGGUGCAAGCGUUGUCCGGAAUUAUUGGGCGUAAAGAGCUCGUAGGCGGUCUGCCGCGUCUGCUGUGAAAGUCCGGGGCUCAACUCCGGAUCUGCGGUGGGUACGGGCAGACUAGAGUGAUGUAGGGGAGACUGGAAUUCCUGGUGUAGCGGUGAAAUGCGUAGAGAUUGGAAAGAACACCGAUGGCGAAGGCACUUUACUGGGCUAUUACUAACACUCAGAGACGAAAGCUAGGGUAGCAAAUGGG